CUCCUCAAAUUCCAGGUGUCUCCUGACCAGAGCAGAUCCCGGAUGGAGAAGUUCACCCCACUUCGCGCAUGUCGUCUCCCGAGGGCUGUUUGUCCACCUCCUGCCUUGCUGGAGAGGAUGUCAAGGGAGAGAUAGUGAUUGGAAGAGGAGAGGCACUCUGAAACAGAAACAGGACAACCAGCGUUGCCUGCCAGCGGUGAGGGCUUCUCCAACCUUUUCCAAUACUUCUCCAAGCUUCCCAAGCCAGAAAAUAACAGCUGAGGCCCUCAGCUCCCAGGAAAAGAUGUUUUUUCAGUGGACAGAGGAUUACAGAGUGUCCGAAGCUCUGACACUGCCAGGGAUUUUGCAUUACCGCGCCUGAUAAUUCUCCCAGGAGCCUGUGCAAAUAUUCUCAUGAAUGAAAACUACUGAGGUACUUCACUGGUAUUUGCAAUUCCUUUUAUUCACGCCAAAUUUUUCUUGCUGAGGCUGCUCGCACAAAGGGCGAAUAAAUAUUCAGAGUGCUCCUGCCUGAAACGCGCCUGCCGAUGUUAUGAAAUGUUCUUCUUAUUUUCCCAGUGCAUUCAAACAAUUUCAGUCGAGGAACCUUUAAAGAAACUCCUGCUUGUAAAGGGAAGGUGACUGAAUAGGGGAACAGAAAGAAGAUCACACGAUCACCUCCUCACCUAAGUGAAAAAAACUAGCAGUGACUCGGGGACACCCAGAUAUUAAUUGAGAAGCCGAAAUGAGCCAUUUAAUGCUCUUUGCACAGAUAGUAAAUGUUUCUCCCAUUGACUUGUUUGCAUGCAUGUUUUGUUUUGUGCUCUUUAACAAGAGGAGGAGGAAGGAGAAAAAGUUGCAGCCAAAAUACUUGGUGUGAUUCCACUUGCUCUACUCUUUUCUUAAGCACGGUGCCUGUGUUUGAAGACAUAUUUCAGACGGUGCCCCUUUCUCUUCAGGACAUGCCUUAAAGCUGGCAUUCAGCUCAGCAUGAUGUGAUCGGAGGUGACAUUGCAUUGUUUGUGGGACAGGGUUGUGCCUUUACCCCUGGAGAGGAUGCUGAGCCCACCAUUGUGAUCUCCUGCACCAAGGCUGAGCGUGUUGAGGACCAUUCACCGCAUCCCUGAGCUUGGAAAGGAGGACGUGACACCUUAGAAGAAAAGAGGUAACAGACCACGGGACUCUUCUUUUUCUGAAUAAAGUUGGUCUCAGGCUGAAAAGGGGGACCCUAUACCAUGCAAUAAAUCAGGAUUAAACUAAACAGUGCUGCUCAGAAGCCCUCAGCUGCUUUCUCCAGGAUUUCAGUAUGUUGCAGCUUUUCUGUGCCCAGCUGCCUGGGCCUUUUUGUGGUAAGCAAGAGUCUGAUUUAUCGUUUUACGCUGUUUAUGUUAUUAAUGCCUCUGAAAAUGUUGGAUCUGCCACAUAUUUCUUGGCGCGCUCCUUGGAGUAAAUGGCAACUGUGAUGGCUUUGGAAGAUGAUUUGCUGAAGGAUACUGUAUUAAAAUUCUGUUUGGACAUUUGGGCUGCUGGUAUAAGGAUGUGAUAGCCAUUUCCUUCCUGUAAUGAUAUAUUGUCAUGUUAAUUUUGAUGGUAUCUCACUGUAAAAUAGAGGGAUUUGAAAGCCUGCAAUUUGAGAGCCUGGAGUUGUACCUAUCUGUCUGUAUCUAUAUUUAUAUACAGGUUAUUUCUUUUUUCUUUUUCCUCUUUUAAAGUAAUGCUUGCACUUAACAUUUGCUGUACCGGUGAUGAUUCUUUAUUAGGUCUGGAGAAAUUUAGAUGUGUGCUGAUGGUAAACCAGCUUUUUUCGAACUAAAAGGGUUUCAGAUGAGUUUCGUGUUCUUUCUCAGUGUUUUGUUUUUCAAACCAAUUACUGCCCUGCUGCCCACAUCAGGCAGGUUUCAGCCUGAAAGUUCCCUUUGUUGAGCUAAAAUAUGGUCUCUGCUAAAUGCUGAGCAGCGAUGGCUAGAGAUGAAUAAGCAGCAGGUUGCAGAAUUAAUCAAGAAAUCAUUUAGCACCUGCAAAUAAAUACUUGUAGCUGAAGUCUUUUUCUCGGCUCCUGCUUUGUUUUGGCUAGGUCCCUGGCUUCAGAGCAGAGGUGGGAGAGAAGCAGCUGGGAUUUAAGUCUUCCUCCCUUCUCUGCCCCUCUUUGACCUGUGCCCAUGUGCUGCCGCCUCCUCUUUAAGGGAUUAUCUCUGGGCCAGGCCAGGACCUCUGUCCCCACAGAUAUUUGUUCCCUGGCUUAUUUUCCCAGCUGGUUCCACGCGCCACCACUCCUCCGAGGCUCGGGCAGGGAAUGGGAGCGCUCCCCAUCUGCCGCAGCAGCCCUCUAGCUGGUUGGAUUUGUGCUGGAACAGGUUUUAGAGCAUCCUCGCCAUCCCUUCUGUGAUCCCUUUUUGGUGAUCUCUGCGGUGCACCAACCCAUUUCUCCUGCAGCCGUAAGUCACAGGGUAACCUUGGCAGUGGCUUUACUGACAGGGCUCUGGAGGGUUUGAUGUAGGAGUCCAGCCUUUAUUCAUUGCCAAGCUAAAAAAAAAAAUAAUAAUAAGGUUAGUAUAUAAAACAUUCAAAAGCUUUCUUGCUUUCUCAGAUGUAGAAAUUGAGAAGGAAAGGUAAACCCAGGUUAAAGACCUGGACUUUCAGAUGCUUGCUGCUGAUUGUUUAUGAAUCUUGUCCCUUUUUAGGAUG